GAUGAACGCUAGCGGGAGGCUUAACACAUGCAAGUCGAGGGGUAAAUGGUAGCAAUACUAUGAGACCGGCGGACGGGUGCGUAACGCGUAUGCAACAUACCUUGUGCAGGGGGAUAGCCCGUGGAAACGCGGAUUAAUAUUCCAUAGUCCAGCUAUAUCGCAUGGUAUAGUUGGUAAAGAUUUAUCGGCACAAGUUUGGCAUGCGUCUGAUUAGCUUGUUGGUAGGGUAACGGCCUACCAAGGCUACGAUCAGUAGGGGUUCUGAGAGGAUUAACCCCCACACUGGUACUGAGACACGGACCAGACUCCUACGGGAGGCAGCAGUGAGGAAUAUUGGUCAAUGGGCGAAGCCUGAACCAGCCAUCCCGCGUGAAGGAAGACAGCCUUACGGGUUGUAAACUUCUUUUCUGUCAGAAGAAUAAGCUUGUCGAGACGAGUGAUGCCGGUAUGACAGGAAUAAGCAUCGGCUAACUCCGUGCCAGCAGCCGCGGU
rnacentral:rRNA from 1 species